UGGCUCAGCAGUUAGAGCACUGGCUGCUCUUCCAGAGGACCUGGGUUCAAUUCCCAG
rnacentral:tRNA from 1 species